UAGGCUACAUGACGGUACGGCAUUGUCUCCAUGGUUACUGACGGUUAGACACGUACCUUGUGUUCUUUAGUAACCAUGGAGACAGUACCGUAUCGUCGUAGAUCCUAGCAUGUAUGGAGACAAACUGGUUAGCAUAUCUCGUCUAGUGCACACAGCAAGAAGGAUCUUAAGGGUUUCUGUGAAAUAGUGGAUGGUCUGAAGUGACGAUGAUCUCAGCAUCCCCUCCUCCCAAACAAAUAUUCCUUCUUUCUUCCGAAGCGGAGCCUGGGAGGCGGCAGCAGCGUGAGGUGACAUCAGCGCUGCAUGCAUCAGAGGAGGAAGCAAUGGAGAUGAGGCAUUAAGAUCCGGUUACACAGCAAAUAAUGAGGCUGCACUGAGAGGGAAGAAUGGGCUCCGGUGAGGUCAUCCUGACUAGACUCAUUCAGCGGGAAGACCGCAAGUCAAUGAGCAGGAGAUCACAUGGUGGCAGGUUGGAGGCAUGAAUGAAACGGGAGCAGCGAGAAUAUCUGCAGUAAAGCUGCUUUACAGCCAAAAGUGACGUUUUAAACAACAGCUUAAAUGUCGCUGAUUUCAAUUUUUCCUAUCCUGUAAACAAAAAUGUAAAUAUGAAAAAAAAAGAUUAGACUGAAAUCUAGAUAAAAACUUAGAUUUUAAAUCUAAAGGUUAAAAACUUUUUGGUAAAACUUGCAGACAAUAACAGGGCUGCAACGAUUCCUCAAAUGAUUCGAUUAUUAAAAUUCCUCGAGGAAAAUGUA